rnacentral:rRNA from 1 species
GACGAACGCUGGCGGCGUGCUUAACACAUGCAAGUCGAACGGAAAGGCCCUGCUUUUGUGGGGUGCUCGUGUGGCGCACGGGUGAGUAACACGUGAGUAACCUGCCCUUGACUUUGGGAUAACUUCAGGAAACUGGGGCUCUUACCGGAUAGGAGCUCCUGCUGCAUGGUGGGGGUUGGAAAGUUUCGGCGGUUGGAGAUCGAUUGGCGGCUUAUCAGCUUGUUGGUGGGGUAGUGGCUGACCAAGGCUUUGACGGAUAGCCGGCCUGAGAGGGUGACCGGGCACAAGGGGACUGAGAGACGGAGCAGUAGCCAACGGGAGGCAGUAGGCGAGAGUAUGACACAGCAGGCGGAAGUCAGUGACAGAAACGCUCGGUGCGGGAUGACGGGCUACGGGGUGAAAACCGCUGUGGACGUAGACGAAGAGUUCUUGACGGUAAUGGGUAAAAAAGCAACGGCUAACUACGUG